UACAACCUAAGUCAACAGGCCAUAAAGAAAGAGCUGGAAGCCUUGCGCUAUGCACACAUUUCUACAUCUCUCUUACAGUAAUGAAGAUGAUACUUCGUCCUCCUAUCAAACCAAGUGAGGAAACUGAGGCAAAAAAUGAUUAAGUAACAACCAAUUACGUGUUUACUGAGUGGCGGACGCUGGAAUAUAAAACUGAGAAGUCUGGCUCUGGCUCAGAAUUUUAAGUAAUCUCUACACCCAACAUGGGACUCAAACUCAAGACCCCAAGAUCAGGAGUUACAUGUUCUUCAACCAAGCCAGUGAGGCACCCCUAAAUGCUAUUAUCUUGAUAGUAAAGAUUAUUGAUGGUU